CUGAAUCAGAUUUUCUUCAGUGUGGAAGGAUGAGGACACAGUCUCAGUCUCUCUGGCUGACACUGUUCUUUCCUCAUAUAUUGCUUAAAUGGACAUAAAAAUAUUGGUAAAGUUUAUAUACUACUCCCUCAUCUGAGAAAAGGUAUUUCUCAGGGGGAAUAAGAAAUCCUUUAGAAAUAAUACCUGAUGCCCAAUUCACAUUCUGAGGUACAACUGAGGUACAACUUUGAGCUAAUCAUUCAGGUCUUUUCUCCAUAUUAUAGACUAAAAAUCCGUAACUUGAUGGAAAAUGCAGCUGUUCCCAUAGACACCAGCAGUGCAAGAGGGCUUGAAGAAAGGAAAGUGCAGACGUUUAUAAGGCUUGCUGUGGCACACUGUAUUAUCAUUAUCUAAUAGAUAUGUGAAGCCAAACAGAUCAAGGUUCACUGGUAAUAACUGGCAACACUACUGCAGCAAAGUAGAUGAACUUGCAGGUGUUUAGGUCUGUAUCAGUAUUACUUACAAGUACAGGAAGCUGCAUCUGCAAACACCUGCCAUACUAACAGCAACUGCUCUAACGUGCCCCACAUAAAACAAUGGAAUAUAAUCUAGCGACAGUCAAACUCAAUGGCACAUGGAUGACAAAGGUUUAUAAACUCCACUGACAUCAAUUCUGAAACUUCCUUUUUAUAUUUUUAUGUAUGGCAAAAUAGAAGUACGUAUUUAGAUUAUCUAAAUCUCAGGACACAACUUGAAUUAAA